UAGAGCAUUUCAGUACAGCCUGGUCUCACAGCAGUCUAAUCUUGAAGUGACGAAAGCAUGGAUUAGCUUUUCUGCAUCAUUUUUGGACAAACAGUUUCAGAUUUUUGCAAUGUUACAAACUGCUCUUGAAAAUAUUUAUGAUAUGUUUGUCAUAAAAUGCUGUUACAAAGACAGUGCCCACCCCACUCCAUUGGCUGUUAUUUUUUACAGGACCUGUCCAUAUUACCGUUUUAUCAACCAUUUAUUUUCUUAAUGUCAACAGUGUGAAAGGGAACCUGUAUCCUAAAAUUCCAAAGCCAGUAUGGAAGGAGGAAUGGUUGACACCACUGGAGGGCCAUGGCCGCCAAAUCCUCAAUGUGGAACCAUGUCAACCCAGUGAGAUUGAUAUAGUGUGUAACCGAGAGCAGUCUGGAGAAGCUGUACUAGAUAAAGAUGCUGGAAAGGGUGCCUUAACCAACACAAACUCAGAUGUCCCAGCUCUGCAUGGAUACUACAACCAGCUCCUCAGCAAGACCACUUCAGGACACUUCACCUUCUCUCCUCACACAAUGUGGCCGCCAUCCUCUCAACUCUCAGGCACAGUAAUCCAGAACCCCUCAUACAACCUAGAAGUACAGGCUAGUUUAGAUAUGGAACAGUCUGUGGGAUAUGAGCCGGAUAUGAACUCUUUCUCCUGUCCGAACCCUGAACCACACAACACCAUGUCUUAUGUGCCCUUUGAGACGGAUUCCUGGGGUUACAAGUUCCAGUGUCACAUAGAAGACAGCUCUCCUCUCCAGGAGUAGAGCCUCUGGGCAGCCCUAUUUCCAUCAGCUCCACUCAAAUCAUAUUUUUGUUCCAGCCCAGCACUAACACAGCUGAGAAGACCAAUUAAGAUUUUGAUUGGGCCUUGAUUGCACUGCUCCUGGAAAUAAAAGUGGCUUAUCAAACAGAAAGAAUGAACUGCUGUACUUGUAUUUAUUUAAAUGCACUUCUCUCUGCUGACUUGAUAUGUUGCUUUAUGUGAAAUAUUUAGAUGACAGUGGAAAUGUUUUGAUAGAUACAGCAUGAGUAAUUAUGUAACAGUAAGUAUUGCUUCCGUCCCUCUUCGCCCCAACCAGGGAACUUCUGCACACAUCGACAAGUCGCCCAUCGCUCCACAAAAGCCGCGGCUACUUCAAGUCUCAGAGCGAGUGACGUCACCGAGAUUGUGCGUCAAGAAUUCAGCAUAGCAAAUUUGUAUGAAGGUCUGGUUAUUAAAUGGGUACAUAGUUCAAUAGUAAUAUGGUCUAAAACGCUCCGGUGACUUUGCUACCCUGUUUCCAAUUAGCUACAUGGCUGGGAGAACCUAUUCAAGUAAGUUAAGUAAAUACAUUUCGAAAAUGUAAAAAAAUAACAUUGUUACAGUGCAGGCUAACUCAAAUGAGCUAGCUAGUUGGCUAGCUAGACAACUUUACAUACUGUAUAGAUAGGUAGCUGGGGAUUUUUAAUUCGCUUAGCCAGCUAACUUCAUAUUAGCUAGCUAUCUUGAUGUAUUUAUCACUGUGAAAAACACACUCCAAAUGCCAUGGAGGAGGGUGAAAGGAUAAUUUUUAGCAGCCCCAACUUUCAAAGUGAGAGAGUAAGCUAUUCUGGAUGGGGCAGGUACUUUUGUGUAGUUCCAGUCCCUAGAAGUGAGGACGGAGGUAAUAGUAACAUAAUAUUCAGCGCAGUGUAAUUUGAGUAUAAUGAAGUCUGUUUCUUGUGAGUUUUUCUGUCCUCAGAUAAAGAGAGCUCUGAAAGCCUGUCUACGGAUGAAGAGGUCCCAAUGAAGAGCAGUGGUUCUCAGUCCUGGUCCUGAGGACUCAAAGGGGUGCACAUUUUUGUUUUUGCCUUAGCACUGCACAGCUGAUUCAAAUGAUCAACUCAUCAUCAAGCUUUGAACGGUAUUCAUGUAUUCAUUUGUGAUGCUAUCCCUGUUAUGAUCCUGUUAUUGUCACAUGCUACACAUGCACAUGUGUGUGCCAUGCAUGCAAGGUUGAGUGACCAGGGCCAUCUGGGACUGCCUCCUGGAGGAAUUCAGGCGUGUGAAUGCUACCUUUGUCCUGCAUAACUUCAUGAGGAUGGACACGAGGACCAGGAGGGGAUCUGCAGCUCGCCGGCGUGUGCCAGAGGUGAAGUCUGGUGCCCUGCAGGAUGUUUCAAGGAUGGGGGGGGUCCAACAAUGCAGCAAGAGAGGCAAUCCGUGUGUGGGAGAUCUUCACCUCCUACUUCUUUGAAGAGGGUGCUGUUCCCUGGCAACACCAUAGACUACACUAUGCACAACCAAAGGCUCUUUUAAGAGCCAUCCACAUUACAAUAAGAGUAUUCUUCCAUUUACUUAUCUAUGUCAACUGCAGUUAUUCAAUUCCCAGUUUCUCUCCCUUUGAUUUCUACUUCUCAGGUGAUGGUGCUGUUUAGGUAAGGGUGUGAUGUCUGUACAAAAACAAAACAGGCUAUUUUAAGUCAUCCAUAUUGAAAAAAGUUUAAACAAUUAGACACCCUAUAACCCACACAUACACACAUGUAUCAAUCUGAUUGAUGGAUUGCGUUGUGCAGUAAGCAGGCUCAGGUGAAUAACUGUGGCUCCUUCCACCUUUCCUAGCCACUGUGCUUCUACACCUGCAUUGCUUGCUGUUUGGGGUUUUAGGUUGGGUUUCUGUACAGCACUUUGAGAUAUCAGCUGAUGUAAGAAGGGCUAUAUAAAUAGAUUUGAUUUGAUUCAAAGAAUAGGCAAGAGGGCCAACCAUGGAGAAUAGUAUGGCAAUUCAAAUCAAAUCAAAUUUAUUUAUAUAGCCCUUCGUACAUCAACUGAAAUCACAAAGUGCUGUACAGAAACCCAGCCUAAAACCCCAAACAGCAAGCAAUGCAUGUGAAAGAAGCACGGUGGCUGGGAAAAACUCCCUAGGAAAAACUCCUGAGAAAGGCCAAAAACCUAGGAAGAAACCUAGAGAGGAACCAGGCUAUGAGGGGUGGCCAGUCCUCUUCUGGCUGUGCCGGGUGGAUAUUAUAACAGAACAUGGUCAAGAUGUUAAAAUGUUCGUAAAUGACCAGCAUGGUCAAAUAAUAAUAAUCAUAGUAAUUGUCGAGGGUGCAACAAGCACGUCCGGUGAACAGGUCAGGGUUCCGUAGCCGCAGGCAGAACAGUUGAAACUGGAGCAGCAGCAUGGCCAGGUGGACUGGGGACAGCAAGGAGUCAUCAUGCCAGGUAGUCCUGAGGCAUGGUCCUAGGGCUCAGGUCCUCCGAGAGAAAGAGAGAAAGAGAGAAUUAGAGAGAGCAUAUUUACAUUCACACAGGACACCGGAUAAGACAAGAGAAUACUCCAGAUGUAACAGACUGACCCUAGCCCCCCGACACAUAAACUACUGCAGCAUAAAUACUGGAGGCUGAGACAGGAGGGAUCAGAAGACACUGAAGACAAUUCAUUAUUUCUAUAACUGCGCUAUAUUGUUUGUCCUCGUGUGUCCGUCCAUGUUUUUCAGCAUAAAGUACUCUGCAGCCACUUAGUGUGGACACCAGGUAAGGCCACACACAGAUUCCUGUUGAACACUCUCUUUAACUACCUUAUUUUCUCAAUAACAGUCUCUCUCCUUCACUUCAUCCCUCUCUCGCCUUCUCCCUAAAUCCUCUAGGUUAUAUCAGCUGUCAGUGAACCCCUCCCGCAUCUGAACUGGCUACUUAGAGGGCACAGCAUGAUCAGAGGUGAGAGGUCACUUGGUCAGGAAGUAUUAUUAAAUAGGUGCUUUACAUUGAAAUAGAGAUGUAGUAGUCCCAGAGUUAAUGAUCCAAGGUCAGUUUUGCAUUUCACCUGAUGAUUAUGAUGACUGACAGUGUUAGCAUGUUUGAGCUUUGGGUUUUUAAAAAGUUUAUUCUAUCUCGCCAUCUCUAUCUCUCGUCUGCAGGUAUGUUUUGAUGUGAGAGAGGUUGCCAACCCCCAGUCCCAUCAUCGCCACCUCACCCUCUCUAAAGAUAACCUUUGGGCCGACUGGGAGCCCAAGGCUGGUUAGGAGACACUAUUAUGUAAUUGUGAUUAACUGAGAGAAUAUUAUGGUAGCACUGUGAUUCAUUAAUCAUAUGCUGCCUUCCCAGCUCCUAUGUUCUUACCUUUUUCCCUUUCUGUCUUUUACACCUCUCACCAACUUUCUUCCUCUGUUUUUAUAAUGCACAACAGAUGUGCAUUGAAGUACAGAUUGAACUUGUAUUUAUAAUAUUACAAUUAUAAUAUUUCUAAUGCAUGUAUUUAUAACACUUGGACAAUUAACUUAUUUCAAUAAAGGGUUUCACAUUCUCUACUGUGUUUAUCAGAUCAAUGCAGAUGAUGGAAAUUAGAUAUUGAGAUGAACCGGUUUGAUUAUGUACAUGAUGCAUAGGAAGUGUAGUGUACUGUUUUAAAAAAUAAUAUUUCUGUAUAUAUGAAUUACAAAUCAGCCUUUAACUCGUUAAAUCAUGUUUCUAGUCUAUUGCAUAGUUACAAUGUGUAACCAUUGAUGUCCCAGGACCAAGACUGGUAAACACUGAAGUGUAUCAUUGUAAUACAUACAUGCAGACCCGGCAUCAUUCAAAGACUGGAAUUUUAUGCUCCUGGUAUUGGAUAUCACUGAAAGAUAAUCUCAAAAACAUUCAUACCUGAACUGUAC
rnacentral:lncRNA from 1 species